rnacentral:rRNA from 1 species
UUGUGCCAGCCGCCGCGGUAAGACGGAGGAGGCAAGCAUUGUCCGGAAUUAUUGGGCGUAAAGAACACGUAGGCGGUUUGCCAAGUCAUAUGUGAAAACCUUGGGCUUAACUUAAGGAUUGCAUAUGAUACUGGUAAACUAGAGUAUAGUAGAGGAAAGUGGAAUUCCUGGUGUAGCGGUGAAAUGCGCAGAUAUCAGGAAGAACACCAGUGGCGAAAGCGGCUUUCUGGACUGUUACUGACGCUGAGGUGUGAAAGCUAGGGGAGCGAACAGGAUUAGAUACCCUGGUAGUCCUAGCCGUAAACGAUGGACACUAGGUGUGGGGAGUUAUCGACGCUCUCUGUGCCGAAGCUAAGGCAUUAAGUGUCCCGCCUGGGGAGUACGGUCGCAAGUCUAAGACUCAAAGGAAUUGACGGGGGCCCGCACAAGCGGCGGAGCAUGUGGCUUAAUUCGACGCAACGCGAAGAACCUUACCAGGGCUUGACAUCGUAUUGACAAGUGCAGAACUGUACCUCCUUCGGGCAGUAUGACAGGUGGUGCAUGGCUGUCGUCAGCUCGUGUCGUGAGAUGUUGGGUUAAGUCCCGCAACGAGCGCAAGCCUCGUCCCAUGUUGCCGUCACUUAGGGUGGGCACUCUCGGGAGACUGCCGGUGUAAAACUGGAGGAAGGUGGGGAUGACUUCCAG